UUUAUGGAGAGUUUGAUCCUGGCCAGAGUGAACGCUGGCGUGCCUAAUACAUGCUAAGUCGAACGAUGAAGCUUUCUAGCUUGCUAGAAGGCUGAUUAGUGGCGCACGGGUGAGUAACGCAUAGGUCAUGUGCCUCUUAGUUUGGGAUAGCCAUUGGAAACGAUGAUUAAUACCAGAUACUCCCUACGGGGGAAAGAUUUAUCGCUAAGAGAUCAGCCUAUGUCCUAUCAGCUUGUUGGUAAGGUAAUGGCUUACCAAGGCUAUGACGGGUAUCCGGCCUGAGAGGGUGAACGGACACACUGGAACUGAGACACGGUCCAGACUCCUACGGGAGGCAGCAGUAGGGAAUAUUGCUCAAUGGGGGAAACCCUGAAGCAGCAACGCCGCGUGGAGGAUGAAGGUUUUAGGAUUGUAAACUCCUUUUGUUAGAGAAGAUAAUGACGGUAUCUAACGAAUAAGCACCGGCUAACUCCGUGCCAGCAGCCGCGGUAAUACGGAGGGUGCAAGCGUUACUCGGAAUCACUGGGCGUAAAGAGCGCGUAGGCGGGAUAGUCAGUCAGGUGUGAAAUCCUAUGGCUUAACCAUAGAACUGCAUUUGAAACUACUAUUCUAGAGUGUGGGAGAGGUAGGUGGAAUUCUUGGUGUAGGGGUAAAAUCCGUAGAGAUCAAGAGGAAUACUCAUUGCGAAGGCGACCUGCUGGAACAUUACUGACGCUGAUUGCGCGAAAGCGUGGGGAGCAAACAGGAUUAGAUACCCUGGUAGUCCACGCCCUAAACGAUGGAUGCUAGUUGUUGGAGGGCUUAGUCUCUCCAGUAAUGCAAAACUAACGCAUUAAGCAUCCCGCCUGGGGAGUACGGUCCGCAAGAUUAAAACUCAAAGGAAUAGACGGGGACCCGCACAAGCGGUGGAGCAUGUGGUUUAAUUCUGAAGAUACACGAAGAACCUUACCUAGGCUUGACAUUGAGAGAAUCCGCUAGAAAUAGUGGAGUGUCUGGCUUGCCAGACCUUGAAAACAGGUGUUUGCCACGGCUGUCGUCAGCUCGUGUCGUGAGAUGUUGGGUUAAGUCCCGCAACGAGCGCAACCCCCUUUCUUAGUUGCUAACAGGUUAUGCUGAGAACUCUAAGGAUACUGCCUCCGUAAGGAGGAGGAAGGUGGGGACGACGUCAAGUCAUCAUAGCCCUUACGCCUAGGGCUACACACGUGCUACAAUGGGGUGCAAAAGAGAAGCAAUACUGCGAAGUGGAGCCAAUCUUCAAAACACCUCUCAGUUCCUGGAUUGUAGGUUGCAAACUCGCCUGCAUGAAGCUGGAAUCGCUAGUAAUCGCAAAUCAGCCAUGUUGCGGUGAAUACGUUCCCGGGUCUUGUACUCACCGCCCGUCACACCAUGGGAGUUGUGUUUGCCUUAAGUCAGGAUGCUAAAUUAGCUACUGCCCACGGCACACACAGCGACUGGGGUGAAGUCGUAACAAGGUAACCGUAGGUGAACCUGCGGUUGGAUCACCUCCUUUCUAGA
rnacentral:rRNA from 1 species